CAAAGGGAGGGUGGACGCUUUUGCCCUUCCGGUCUCCCUGCUGACUGGAGAGCUGAUAGGAGGCUGGCGCCCCAAUUAGCGAUGAUGGACUACCAGAUGACUUACUCUGGGGGAAGCAACCCUUGUAAGCAGGCUUACGGAGAGGCCCACAUGGUUAGGAAAUGAAGUUUCCAGCCAACAGCCAACAAGGAACUGAGGGCUGUCAACAGCCAUGUGUGUGUCCUUGAAAUGGAUCCUGGGCCUUCAGUGACUACAGCCCUGGCUGACAGCUUGACUGUAAUUUCAUGAGCGACUCUGAGCCAGAACCCCCAGCAUCAGUGUACCCAGAAUAAAAACCAACCAACCAACGAACCAACCAAACAGAAGUUACCCAAGAAGAAAAGUGGGACUCAAUCUACAGAAUCAGAGCACCUUGGGUCUUGGCUGCUGAAACACAAAACAAAGUAAAACACUUUUCUCAGUUGUAUUUUAGACUCAUA